GUUCUGGCAACUCUCAAUAUGACCAGCCAUGAGCCAGAACCUACCAUUGACUUGUCCUCAGUCCCUGAUUCCUUAUGGGCUACAGGGAAGACAGAUACAGGCAGACUCUCUGUGCCCCCAGUCAAAGUGAAUCUCCUGCCCGGAGCCAUACCUCCCUAUCAAAAACAAUACCCACUAAACCCAGCACAGGAAGAUGCUAUUUUGCAAUCUGUGCAAGAGUUUCUGC